UGGGGGGAUAUUGCACAAUGGGGGGAACCCUGAUGCAGCGACGCCGCGUGGGUGAAGAAGCGCCUCGGCGCGUAAAGCCCUGUCAGCAGGGAAGAAAAUGACGGUACCUGAAGAAGAAGCCCCGGCUAACUACGUGCC
rnacentral:rRNA from 1 species